rnacentral:rRNA from 1 species
GACAGAGGUGCCGAGCGUUAGGCGGAAUCACUGGGCUUAAAGCGUGUGUAGGCGGAUCGUUAAGUACCUUGUGAAAUCCCACGGCUCAACCGUGGAACUGCUGGGUAUACUGGCGAUCUUGAGCAGCUUAGGGGCAGACGGAACAAGUGGUGGAGCGGUGAAAUGCGUAGAUAUCACUUGGAACGCCGACGGUGAAAACAGUCUGCUGGGAGCUUGCUGACGCUGAGACGAGACCAGGGGAGCGAACGGG